UGCCUUUGUGUUGCCCAUUCAUUCCUGACCAGAAUGAAUGUGGUGUCAAGAAAGGCGAACAGGAACUCUUGCUCAGACUAUUAAAGGAGUUGAUUAUGUACUUUUCAUCUCCCUGUCUUUGCAAGGACAAAA
rfam:Calypte anna contig104792, whole genome shotgun sequence.